UAAGGAAUAUUGGUCAAUGGAGGGAACUCUGAACCAGCCAUGCCGCGUGAAGGAUGACGGCCCUCUGGGUUGUAAACUUCUUUUGGAUGGGGCGAAAAAACGGGAUUUAUCCUGGACUGACGGUACCAUCAGAAUAAGCACCGGCUAACUCCGUGCCAGCAGCCGCGGUAAUACGGAGGGUGCAAGCGUUAUCCGGAAUCACUGGGUUUAAAGGGUGCGUAGGCGGUUGUAUAAGUCAGGGGUGAAAGCACGCAGCUUAACUGUGUAAUUGCCUUUGAUACUGUACGGCUUGAAUAGGGUUGAGGUUGGCGGAAUGUGACAUGUAGCGGUGAAAUGCUUAGAUAUGUCAUGGAACACCG
rnacentral:rRNA from 1 species